rnacentral:rRNA from 1 species
UUACGGGAGGCAGCAGUGGGGAAUUUUGGACAAUGGGCGAAAGCCUGAUCCAGCCAUGCCGCGUGCAGGAUGAAGGCCUUCGGGUUGUAAACUGCUUUUGUACGGAACGAAAAGGUCUUUUCUAAUAAAGAAGGCUCAUGACGGUACCGUAAGAAUAAGCACCGGCUAACUACGUGCCAGCAGCCGCGGUAAUACGUAGGGUGCAAGCGUUAAUCGGAAUUACUGGGCGUAAAGCGUGCGCAGGCGGUUAUGUAAGACAGUUGUGAAAUCCCCGGGCUCAACCUGGGAACUGCAUCUGUGACUGCAUAGCUAGAGUACGGUAGAGGGGGAUGGAAUUCCGCGUGUAGCAGUGAAAUGCGUAGAUAUGCGGAGGAACACCGAUGGCGAAGGCAAUCCCCUGGACCUGUACUGACGCUCAUGCACGAAAGCGUGGGGAGCAAACAGGAUUAGAUACCCCCGUAGUCCA